GGGGUUGUAGCUUAACUGGUAGAGUGCCGUCCUGUCAAGGCGGAAAGUGAGGGUUCGAAUCCCUUCAGCCCCG
rnacentral:tRNA from 1 species